UGCUCGGAUUUUAAGGCAGCAGCUUGCCGAUCCUCCCAGCUGAAUAAAGCCCUUCCUUCUACAACUUGGUGUCUGAGAGGUUUUGUCUGCGGCUCGUCCUUCUACAUUUCUUGGUCCCCUGACCGGGAAUCGAGGUAACUGAGGGAUGGCCGAGGUAGCCCCUUAGGCAGCUUAGGCCUGCCCUGUGGAGCAUCCCUGCAGGGGACUCUGGCCAGCCUGAGUGACGUGAUCCAAAGAGCACUCCUGGGUAGAAAAUUGCCUGGGUGGAACGCCUCACCAGAACAGCACGUAGCAGGCCCCUGUGGAGGAUUAACACAGUGGCUGAACACCGGGAAGGAACUGGCACUUGGAGUCCGGACAUCUGAAACUUGAAUUGACAAGCCGACAUCAGUCUCCAGAGUGAAUCCAAGGAGUGGACCCAAGACAUUUGUGUUCUGUGAUGUGGUGGCAUGUUACCUGUCAUCUCCGAUGCAUAACUCCUAAAGUGCGUCUGGGGCAGUUGUACAGAUUGCAGAGGAUAAUACUCAAGAUGUUCUCCAAGGCCAACUAGUCAUCAGUUUAUUCAUGUUUCUGGGAUUGGAUUCAUGAACUCAUCCUUUGAACUAUUUCAACAAGCUUUUUCAUGUAACUAAUCUGCGGAAGGUAGAAAGGGGAAAACUGUUGGGUGCUAAAAUGACAACUGGUUCAAGGUACAAUGGCGAAUAUUUUUAUUUCUGCAACUUUUCUUAGAGGUUGGAAACUGGACUGGGCAGGAAGAUUCCUUUUUGUAAGAUUAGUCUCCAGUUUUCAUCAAGCAGUUUAGUGGGGUAUUUUAGGCCCAGUUCCCUCUCCACAGUCCCCAAAGGUCUUCUGUUAACUUUAAAUCCGCAAAGAGAGAGAUCUCUGCCAAGCAGCAACUGCAAGAGCAUGUGGGUCAAUGUUACCAGCAGACACUCAAAGCCCAUUCCCUUUACUUCAACACCGCUUUAUAAAUUAUCUUAGAGACGUUGUCAGGUUGGUAUUAGAGGUGAGUGGUCAUGACUUCACGAUUUCUCAUCUUUCUGAAUGCAUAGUGGCUGGGAGUGGUGGCUCAUGCCUGUAAUCCCAGCAGUUUGGGAGGCCGAGGUGGGCAGAUUGUUUGACCACAGGAGU